rnacentral:rRNA from 1 species
UACGGAGGGGGCGAGCGUUAUUCGGAAUUAUUGGGCGUAAAGGGCGCGUAGGCGGCUGGGUAAGUCAAAGGUGAAAUCCCUCGGCUCAACUGAGGAACUGCCUUUGAAACUGUCCAGCUCGAGGCCGGGAGGGGGUGGCGGAAUUCCCAGUGUAGCGGUGAAAUGCGUAGAUAUUGGGAGGAACACCAGUGGCGAAGGCGGCCACCUGGACCGGUUCUGACGCUGAUGCGCGAAAGCGUGGGUAGCAAACGGG